CGCCCGGGGCCCCGGGCCGAGCGCCGACGAGCGGGGGCGGAGGCCCGCCCCUUGCAGACGUCACCGCGCGGCGGCCGCUGCCGGUGUGAACCGGUUGAUGAAUGGCGAAGUGCUGGAGUCGUAGCAUCUCCAGGGCGGGGGAGGGAACGGGCAGUGGAUGGACUAGGGGUGGACGAAGUCUACGGUGGGGUAGGGAUGGGAGCGAGAGGAGGUUUCAAUCGACUGUAAAGAAUCACGCCGGAAGCCCUGGUUCUCGUAGUGAAAAGCGCCGCGGAGUGCGCACAUGUCACAUGGGGAGCUUUGAAGUUGCCUCAAACUUAACAUGCAAUCCCUUUAGGGCUGGAACCGUGUCUCAGUCCGACCCUACUUUCUUCUGCCAUAAGUCAAACCACAGUCAUCUUUGCCAGCGGUUUACCUUGGCACCUGCGCCACUAUGAUCUCCGUCAUCAAAUAAUAUUUAUGUCGCACGGCAGCUGUACCCGGUGACUCAACACCUUGGAUGCCACGGCCCUAGGCUCGGACAAGGUGAAUACUUGUCGCCGGGGGCACUUUCAAGGAGGGAGAAAUCUAGCAAACUUUUGCUACGGGAGACUGGGAGAGUACCUUGUGAGGCAGAUAAAGCCCCAUGCUUCCAAAGUCUUUUUUUGGUCACGCCUCCAUACUACACACGCGGGCGACUGCAGUUGGCUCAGUUGUGGCAUUUCGAAAUCACAUGCAUCCUUUGUACUGCUGCUCACUUGAUGUGUUGUCACAGAUAAUGAAAGCAUCGGCACCUGCACUUAUUAGCAGAUCUCCAGACUGAGCCACAUGGCUAAUAGUGGUCCAGACAUCCAAAGGGGAAGAUUGUGGGAACAGAAGGAAGAUGAUGACUAGAUACUCAGAAGAGUAAAGUCUAAUGAUUUGAAGGUUGUCAGUUUUGUCCAGCUCUGUCUAGGGAAGAAACACCGAAUCUGUACACUAUAAGCAUGCUGGUUAUU